CCUACGGGAGGCAGCAGUGGGGAAUAUUGCACAAUGGGCGCAAGCCUGAUGCAGCGACGCCGCGUGAGGGAUGGAGGCCUUCGGGUUGUAAACCUCUUUUAUCGGGGAGCAAGCGAGAGUGAGUUUACCCGUUGAAUAAGCACCGGCUAACUACGUGCCAGCAGCCGCGGUAAUACGUAGGGUGCAAGCGUUAUCCGGAAUUAUUGGGCGUAAAGGGCUCGUAGGCGGUUCGUCGCGUCCGGUGUGAAAGUCCAUCGCUUAACGGUGGAUCCGCGCCGGGUACGGGCGGGCUUGAGUGCGGUAGGGGAGACUGGAAUUCCCGGUGUAACGGUGGAAUGUGUAGAUAUCGGGAAGAACACCAAUGGCGAAGGCAGGUCUCUGGGCCGUUACUGACGCUGAGGAGCGAAAGCGUGGGGAGCGAACAGGAUUAGAUACCCUGGUAGUCCACGCCGUAAACGGUGGAUGCUGGAUGUGGGGCCCGUUCCACGGGUUCCGUGUCGGAGCUAACGCGUUAAGCAUCCCGCCUGGGGAGUACGGCCGCAAGGCUAAAACUCAAAGAAAUUGACGGGGGCCCGCACAAGCGGCGGAGCAUGCGGAUUAAUUCGAUGCAACGCGAAGAACCUUACCUGGGCUUGACAUGUUCCCGACGGUCGUAGAGAUACGGCUUCCCUUCGGGGCGGGUUCACAGGUGGUGCAUGGUCGUCGUCAGCUCGUGUCGUGAGAUGUUGGGUUAAGUCCCGCAACGAGCGCAACCCUCGCCCCGUGUUGCCAGCGGAUUAUGCCGGGAACUCACGGGGGACCGCCGGGGUUAACUCGGAGGAAGGUGGGGAUGACGUCAGAUCAUCAUGCCCCUUACGUCCAGGGCUUCACGCAUGCUACAAUGGCCGGUACAACGGGAUGCGACGCGGCGACGCGGAGCGGAUCCCUGAAAACCGGUCUCAGUUCGGAUCGCAGUCUGCAACUCGACUGCGUGAAGGCGGAGUCGCUAGUAAUCGCGAAUCAGCAACGUCGCGGUGAAUGCGUUCCCGGGCCUUGUACACACCGCCCGUCAAGUCAUGAAAGUGGGUAGCACCCGAAGCCGGUGGCCCAACCUUUUUGGGGGGAGCCGUCUAAGGUGAGACUCGUGAUUGGGACUAAGUCGUAACAAGGUAGCCGUACCGGAAGGUGCGGCUG
rnacentral:rRNA from 1 species